AGAAUAUUGAAAUAUACAAGUACAAGAGGAAAUCUGAAGAAAUAAACAAUAGUAGAUCAGAAGAUAAGAUCAUACUUUCAAAGUGGAAACACACUAUAGCAACUUGGGUUCUGGAACUCAUCAGGGAAGAGGACCUGAGUUUGGUGCCAAGCACCCACACAGCAGGUCACACACAUUCAUAGCUCCAGGUCCAGGGAAUCUGAGGGCCUCUGCUGGUCUUCUAGGACACCAGACACACAAGUGGCACAGAAUCAAUCGUACAUGUAAGUAAACACCCAUACAAAGAAAAAUAAAAAUGUUAAUAAGCCAUUUUAUAGAUAUCUU
rnacentral:lncRNA from 1 species